AUUGAACGCUGGCGGCAGGCUUAACACAUGCAAGUCGAGCGGAGUGAUGGUGCUUGCACUAUCACUUAGCGGCGGACUGGUGAGUAAUGCUUAGGAAUCUGCCUAUUAGUGGGGGACAACAUCUCGAAAGGGAUGCUAAUACCGCAUACGUCCUACGGGAGAAAGCAGGGGAUCACUUGUGACCUUGCGCUAAUAGAUGAGCCUAAGUCGGAUUAGCUAGUUGGUGGGGUAAAGGCCUACCAAGGCGACGAUCUGUAGCGGGUCUGAGAGGAUGAUCCGCCACACUGGGACUGAGACACGGCCCAGACUCCUACGGGAGGCAGCAGUGGGGAAUAUUGGACAAUGGGGGGAACCCUGAUCCAGCCAUGCCGCGUGUGUGAAGAAGGCCUUCGGGUUGUAAAGCACUUUAAGCGAGGAGGAAUGGCUCUUGGUUAAUAACCUUGAGCAGUGACGUUACUCGCAGAAUAAGCACCGGCUAACUCUGUGCCAGCAGCCGCCGUAA
rnacentral:rRNA from 1 species